rnacentral:lncRNA from 1 species
AACACAUUCAACUGAUUACUUUCACCAUGUACAUAUAUCUGAAUUUCCAAGGUAGUGUCUUAUUCUUUCUUCCUUUUUCUUCUGCAGGGCUGGAGAUCAAACCUAGGACCUUGUGCAUCCUAGGCAAGCACUCUACCACUGAGCUAUAGCCCCAUCUCCUAAAACAAGAUCUCUUUAUGUAGCCCAGGCUGCCCUUGAACUCAUCACAGUCCUCCUCCUCAGCCACCUGAGUACUGGGUUUAUAGGCACGCACCACCAUACCCACCACCAUACCCGGCAGGAGGUUUAAUUUUGAACCUGUCACUGUCAUCCUCAGAAUCAGAUUCCUUAUCUUCACCGUCAAACAGCUUCCCAGAUGCUUUACCCUUGGAUUCCUAUUAUAUACAUGAAAAGAGAAACAUUUUUUUAAUGGAGGAAAUCAGCAUUUCUUUCAUAAUGAAGUCUCACCACAUUUAAAAACAACCCAGAUAAAUAUACCAAGAACAAGCAAAUGGUGGAG